rnacentral:tRNA from 1 species
CAGCAGGCUCGGCGUAGGCCAUCUUCUUGAUUUUUUCGAAGGUUUUACUUGAACCACCUUCCACCAUAUAAGUCGC